rnacentral:rRNA from 1 species
AGCCUGAACGCUGGCGGCGUGGCUAAGACAUGCAAGUCGUACGGUGUAGCAAUACACAGUGGCGAACGGGAGAGUAAUGAAUCGCUAAUGUGCCCCGGACUCUGAGAUAGCCAGUCGAAAGAUUGGGUAAUACCAGAUGACAUAUCUUUAUCGCAUGAUAGAGAUCUCAAAGGUCCGCCGGUCUGGGAGCAGGCGAUUUCGUAUCAGCUAGUUGGUGAGGUAACGGCUCACCAAGGCGACGACGCGUAGCCGGACUUAGAGGUUGGCCGGCCUCAUUGGGACUGAGACACUGCCCAGACUCCUACGGGGGGCUGCAGUAACGAAUCUUCCGCAAUGCACGAAAGUGUGACGGAGCGACGCCGCGUGUAGGACGAAGUCCUUCGGGAUGUAAACUACUGUCAGGGGUUACCAAGUUCUGAGGAGCCCAGAGGAAGCACGGCUAACUCUGCGCCAGCAGCCGCGGU